UAAAUUACUCUCCUUUUGGAAAUUUAGUGAGUUCCGUUCAUUUAUGGUUCGCAGCUAAAACUUCUUUUUCCCUUUCCAGAUUUUUAAUCUCUAUUUUCAAAACCUUAAAUUUUGAAGACCAAAGAUCUUUGGUUUUUAGUUCUAUUAAUUGCAAUGAAAAUAGUCUUUUGUCGAUAGAUGAGAACGAUGGAAAAUGAAUUUAUCUAGUCUCCGCUAUGAUGUUAAGAACAUUAACG